rnacentral:rRNA from 1 species
GACGAACGCUGGCGGCGUGCUUAACACAUGCAAGUCGAACGGAAAGGCCCUGCUUUUGUGGGGUGCUCGAGUGGCGAACGGGUGAGUAACACGUGAGUAACCUGCCCUUGACUUUGGGAUAACUUCAGGAAACUGGGGCUAAUACCGGAUAGGAGCUCCUGCUGCAUGGUGGGGGUUGGAAAGUUUCGGCGGUUGGGGCUGGACUCGCGGCUUAUCAGCUUGUUGGUGGGGUAGUGGCUUACCAAGGCUUUGACGGGUAGCCGGCCUGAGAGGGUGACCGGCAACAUUGGGACUGAGAUACGGCCCAGACUCCUACGGGAGGCAGCAGUGGGGAAUAUUGCACAAUGGGCGGAAGCCUGAUGCAGCAACGCCGCGUGCGGGAUGACGGCCUUCGGGUUGUAAACCGCUUUCGCCUGUGACGAAGCGUGAGUGACGGUAAUGGGUAAAGAAGCACCGGCUAACUACGUG